CCUACGGGAGGCAGCAGUGGGGAAUAUUGGGCAAUGGGCGCAAGCCUGACCCCGCAACGCCGCGUGAAGGAAGAAGGCUUUCGGGUUGUAAACUUCUUUUAAGAGGGAAGAGCAGAAGACGGUACCUCUUGAAUAAGCCACGGCUAACUACGUGCCAGCAGCCGCGGUAAUACGUAGGUGGCAAGCGUUGUCCGGAUUUACUGGGGGUAAAGGGCGUGCAGCCGGGAAGACAAGUCAGAUGUGAAAUCCCGCGGCUCAACCGCGGAACUGCAUUUGAAACUGUUUUUCUUGAGUACCGGAGAGGUAAUCGGAAUUCCUGGUGUAGCGGUGAAAUGCGUAGAUAUAAGGAAGAACACCAGUGGCGAAGGCGGAUGACUGGACGGCAACUGACGGUGAGGCGCGAAAGCGUGGGGAGCAAACAGGAUUAGAUACCCUUGUAGUC
rnacentral:rRNA from 1 species